rnacentral:rRNA from 1 species
AUGUUUGGUGUUAGUCCAUCUGUGUUACAGCUGCAACUUCAUUUGCCAAACUUGCACACAGUCGCAUUUAAGGGUUAUGAAAAUCUGGAAGAUGUUGUCGCUCGCCCAACUUCUUCCAAAUCCAUGCUUACCGAGUACUUUGAGAUGAACAAGAAGUAUCCAGCGGCACGAAAAUGGCUGUAUAGAGAGUUCCCAGAACAUUAUAGGUGGAUUGCUGCUAAUAAAAAGUGGCAAACAAGAAGAAGUAAGAGAUCACAGAUUGGAAGACUGGUGUAUGCACACCCUGCUGAAGGAGAGAGGUACUACUUGCGGGUGCUCCUAAGUCAUGUCCGAGGUGCCACUUCAUUUGAUGAUUUAAAAACAGUAAAUGGCAAGCCAUGCACUUCCUUCAGAGAGGCAUGUGAGCACUUAGGCCUCAUUGAGCAUGACAGGACACUGGAUGAUUGCAUGACGAAGGCAGCAACAUUUCAAAUGCCUUCUGCUCUUAGACAGUUGUUUGCGACUAUACUGGUAUUCUGUGAGGCAACACAAAUCCGUCAAUUGUGGGACAAACAUCUACCAUCGAUGGCUGAAGAUUACCGCCGCACUGAGUCGAAUGAGGCAACACUUGAGCAGAUGGUCCUUAGAGAUGUCAGGGAUCAGGUGCAAUCCAUGGGUAAGGAUAUUAAAAUGUAUGGACUUCCAGAUCUGGUUGACAUAGAUGGUUCUUCUGAUGCCGAGUAUAGAGAGGUAACAGAGGAGAGACAAGUUAGAGUUGACCAAGAGCAUCUAGAUCUAUUUAGCUGUUUGAACAGUGAACAACUGGAUGGUUUCAACGACAUAAUGGAUCAUGUGACGAACCAAAAAAGCCAGUCCAGGUUCAAAAUUCCAAUCAAGCUCACUGACAACAGCAUGUGUGGUUUCACAAAGCAGAGUGGUACGACAGAGUUUCUUAAACAGGCGUCCUUGAUAAUUUGGGAUGAAGUUGCUAUGACAAAGCGUCAAGCAGUUGAGACGCUUGACAGAUCGCUACAAGAUAUAAUGGAAUGUCCUCUGCCGUUUGGUGGAAAGGUUCUUGGCUUUGGUGGGGAUUUCAGGCAGGUCCUCCCUGUUGUUACACGAGGGACAAGAGCACAGAUCAUGGAUGCUACACUGUUGAGAUCCUAUCUGUGGGAUAAGAUCCGCAAGAUACGCCUCACGCGCAAUAUGCGGGCACAUGCCGACCCUUGGUUCUCCGAAUACCUCCUAAGGAUUGGCAAUGGAACGGAAGAAACUAUUGGUGACGACUAUGUGCGUCUGCCUGAAGACAUUGUGAUUGGUUAUACUGAGGACGAAGAACCUAUUAACAAGCUCAUCGAAGAUGUCUUCCCAUCCCUGCACACUAAUGCUAGGUCGAGGGAGUACAUGAGCAAACGUGCAAUUCUCUCGACCAAAAACGAGCAUGUGGAUGACCUGAAUGACAAGAUGAUCUCUAGGUUUCCGGGAGAAGAAAAGGUAUACCAUAGCUUUGACUCUACCGAGGAUGACUUCCAGAAUAAUUACACGAUUGAUUUUCUGAACUCCAUCACACCAAAUGGCUUGCCUCCCCAUGUCUUGAGAGUAAAAAUCAACUGCCCGGUCAUUUUGCUACGGAAACUCGACCCUCAUAAUGGCUUAUGUAAUGGAACACGGCUUAUGAUCAGAGCCUUCCAGGAUAAUGCAAUCGAUGCGGAGAUUGUUGGUGGCCAGAAUGCUGGAAAGAGGGUGUUCAUACCUAGGAUCCCUAUGUCGCCAUCGGAGGACACCUCACUUCUCUUCAAGCUUAAGAGAAAACAAUUCCCCAUCCGCCUGAGUUUUGCAAUGACCAUUAACAAGGCACAGGGUCAAACCAUCCCGAAUGUCGGUAUUUACCUUCCCGAACCUGUUUUCUCACAUGGCCAGCUAUAUGUUGCAUUGUCAAGGGGGGUGUCAAGAAAGACGACACGAAUUUUAGCCAAGCCUAACAAGGAGGUUGAUAAAUCUGGGAAGAGCACCAAAAACAUUGUCUAUAGAGAUGUUUUAGAGGGGUGA